rnacentral:rRNA from 1 species
AUACGGAGGGUGCAAGCGUUAUCCGGAAUCAUUGGGUUUAAAGGGUCCGUAGGCGGGCAAUUAAGUCAGAGGUGAAAGUUUGCGGCUCAACCGUAAAAUUGCCUUUGAAACUGGUUGUCUUGAAUUAUUAUGAAGUGGUUAGAAUAAGUAGUGUAGCGGUGAAAUGCAUAGAUAUUACUUAGAAUACCAAUUGCGAAGGCAGAUCACUAAUAAUAUAUUGACGCUGAUGGACGAAAGCGUGGGGAGCGAACAGGAUUAGAAACCCUUGUAGUCC